ACCUACGGGGGGCAGCAGUGGGGAAUAUUGCACAAUGGGGGAAACCCUGAUGCAGCGACGCCGCGUGAGUGAAGAAGUAUUUCGGUACGUAAAGCUCUAUCAGCAGGGAAGAAAAUGACGGUACCUGACUAAGAAGCCCCGGCUAACUACGUGCCAGCAGCCGCGGUAAUACGUAGGGGGCAAGCGUUAUCCGGAUUUAUUGGGCGUAAAGCGUGCGUAGGCGGCUUGUUAAGUCCAGAAUUAAAGCCCGAGGCUUAACCUCGGUUCGUUCUGGAUACUGGCAAGCUUGAGUAUGGUAGAGGCAA
rnacentral:rRNA from 1 species